rnacentral:lncRNA from 1 species
AUGCGGUCCUCGAGCCUCCCGGGCGCUCGGUCACCGCGCCGAAACGGGAGCGGGCACAGUCGCCACCGCCUACCGCCGGGCCGCCUCAGAACAGGAAGCCGUGCGCCGACCGCGGAAGCCCGCCCCCAUGUAGCGAGAAGUCCGCCGACCCCAGGGACAGGAGCGAGGGGCGGGGAGAGGCGGGGAUGGGGGGGAAGCAGGGCGGCCCCGCAGAGGGGAAGCUGCGCCUCCGCAAACGCUCAGAAGCAGCUUCGCCAGACAGCCGCAACGUACAUGUUGACUGCCCGAGGCGGAAGUCGAUCGGCAGAGCGGAAGGGGGACCUGCAAAGGACCUUCAGACAGGGAGAGAGGGUGUUGGCCAACUAUCAGGAAGUUGCUGCCACCCAGAAACUGAAGAUCAUGAGAAGAUACUUACUGCUGAUAUUACCUGGACCACUGCUGCCACUGCAACUUCACAGACAGAAUGGCUUCUACCUUCUUACUGCUUUCUAAUCUAACACGACUGCUUCCUGUUGUCAGAACCCAACCACAACCCAGCUGCCAAGGGAUUCUGGGAAAUGUGAACUGUAGGCUUCCAGCCCUAGUGGUAUAACACAGAAGGUUAGUAUGGAGGUGAAUGACAACAGACAUCUGGGAUAGAUGAUCAGGCCAGUGCUGAUUCCACUGAAUCCCCUGCAGUGGAAGGGGUAUGCAGGAGAAGAGCUGAUUUCCAUAUUAGAACUUUGCAGCAGUCCCAUCUUGGGGUCUGAGGCAGGAAUUGCCUAGCAGCUGUCAGUCCUGACCACCUUGGAAUAGGAGAGCCAAGUGGAGGCAGAGUUCCCUAGUCCCAUCAACAGUCACUGAUGCCUCCCUCACACGAGAGCCUGGGACUCUAGGGUGAGUCAUCACCCUUUUCCUCAGAAGUUCAUCACUUCAGUUAAAAGGCAGAGAGAAAAGUGGCAGAUGGGAACACAGCAGGUGCAGUAAUCCCAACCUACUGAAAAUAUUAAGUUCAAACCAUUUAGCAAUUUGGACUAUAAUGAUCUUUUACUUUGCCCCCUUUCUACUGUUUCUGAGAUUGGGAAGGUUGGCAUUUAUAGAGUGAAUCUGAGAAGCAGAAAAAGCCGAAUCUGAUCCCAUUCAUAUUUAUUGAGCAGAAUUAUCUAGUCUGGUUGUCUCCACACAGCUUUAUCUCAUCAGAUAACAAUUAGUGCUUUCCUUGACACUAUUCAUAUGGAUGUGGCCUUGUGGAACCAAUUGUCUCUUGCUAAAGCGGUGAUGCAGGAGGAAGAUAAGGGAAAGGGUCCCCAGAGAACCUGCAACUGGCCUGUGCCCUGGGAGAACAGGGUGGAGCCAGGGGAAGUUUGCACUGUUUGCAGUGGGGAGGAGUCUGGCCUCUUCAGUUCCUGUGUGGUGGCCUGGGAUUCAAUCUGUGAGGUGGGGGGCCUGUUAGCAGGACUCUGUCUCACUUUGCUGAGGUUUUUUUCAUUUUUUCCCUUUUCACCCAAUAAAAUCCUGCUCUACUCACCCUUCA